rnacentral:rRNA from 1 species
UGCUAGUCGCGCGGGUUCAGACCCGCGGCAUAUAGCUCAGUAACACGUGGCCAAACUACCCUAUGGACAGGGACAACCUCGGGAAACUGAGGCUAAUCCCUGAUACCACUCUCAUGCUGGAGUGCAGAGAGUGAGAAACGCCCCGGCGCCAUAGGAUGUGGCUGCGGCCGAUUAGGUAGAUGGUGGGGUAACAGCCCACCAUGCCCAUAAUCGGUACAGGUUGUGAGAGCAAGAACCCGGAGACGGAAUCUGAGACAAGAUACCGGGCCCUACGGGGCGCAGCAGGCGCGAAACCUUUACACUGCACGACAGUGCGAUAAGGGGACUCCGAGUGCGAGGGCAUAUAGUCCUCGCUUUUCUGUACCGUAGGGAGGUACAGGAACAAGUGCUGGGCAAGACCGGUGCCAGCCGCCGCGGUAAUACCGGCAGCACGAGUGAUGACCGAUAUUAUUGGGCCUAAAGCGUUCGUAGCCGGCCACGCAAGUCCACCGGGAAAUCCGCCAGCCCAACUGGCGGGCGUCCGGUGGAAACUGUGUGGCUUGGGACCGAAAGACCCGAGGGGUACGUCUUGGGUAGGAGUGAAAUCCCGUAAUCCUGGACGGACCGCCGAUGGCGAAAGCACUUCGGGAAGACGGAUCCGACGGUGAGGGACGAAAGCCAGGGUCUCGAACCGGAUUAGAUACCCGGGUAGUCCUGGCCGUAAACGAUGUCUGCUA